GCAGGGAGGCUCUUAGCUGUCUCCGGCCUCAGAGGUGGCCGUGGGCGAGAGACAGGGAAGUGUGUGUGGGGCUGGGUGGAAGGCAGACUGGGGGCACAGGCCCAUCUCUUUGGAGCCCCACACGGACAAAGUCCUCCCCACAGGUCAGCCGAGGCCCGGCCGUCAUCUCAAGGACCUGUUCUCAUCCUUGAGAUCACCUUCUCCGUGCACCCGAACAACUUGGCUUCCGCACCGUGCCCGCCAGGCACCGCUGCGGGGGGCUGGGGACACGGAGGCCAUCAAGCCCCAAGGCCUUACCUCCCAGUGGGAAGACGAAGACCAACAAACACAGAAACUAAAGCCCAGCACUGGAUGAACGGAGAAACAAAAUGGGCUCUAACCAUACAACGAAAUAUUACUCAGCCAUGAACAGGAAUGAAGCUCUGAUCCAGGCUACAAUACAAGGGCCAGAAUGGGCAAAUUUAGAGAGCCAGGAGGGACUGUGUGUCAGCACAUUACCCCUUGGGAAAUGGAAGCCUGAAAGAUUUCUGUGUCCCAUCAACUCUGACAAUCAAUGAUCGAGUGAUUUUCUCGUCACCUACAUGGAAAGAUGCCACAAAAUAGCAAAGAAGAUGGGCAGCUGACUUUAAUGAUCAUCCUAACACCCACCUCUGACAGGACACUUAACGCAUACCAGGCGCACUUGGCAAAGCAGUUUGCAUUCAACCUCUCAAUAUGUGUUCUUCACCGCUGUGCUGGAGUUUCAUCUUGCUGUCACAAAAUUACAGAUGAAGAAGCAAGGACUGAGUCAGUUGAAAUUGCUUGUUGUGGAGGCGGAGCUAGAAUUGAAGCCUAGGAGCAUUGAACUCAGAAGCGAGGUGCCCUCAGCCACCAGGCUAUUGCCAGUAGAGGGGUGUUCUUAACUUGUGCUACGGUGUUCACAAGGGUGUGUUGGUGGAAAUAAAGAGUAAGACAAGGCAUGUAUACUGUGCCUCGAGAGGAACACUGUCAUUCCCUUGGCUUAUGUUUCUCUCUCCCGUCAUUCUGAAAGCAACCAGAGAGGUUCUACAUGCAGUUAAACACCUCCUCCUGGGCUGCGCCGUAUACCCAGUCCAACAAAUCAAAAAUAUGGCAUUAGGAUAACGUUGCCUAUCUCUCACCUUGCACAUCAGUGGUUGGACUUCAUCACUUCAGUAUCUUCCAGUUCUCCCUGUUACCCAGCU